GAUCGGUGCUCUUUCAGCUUCGCCACCCAUGGACAGUUUAAGUGUUAACAGCUCAGUGGAAGGUCAGUGUGCAGCCAUUGAAACCAGCCUGGAAGAGAAAUGGCUGUUGGAACAUGAGACAGGAUGGAUAUGAAAGAUAUUCCUGUCGACUGUGUUAAGUUUCAGAUGCUGGCUAGCCUUUGAAGUAGAAAUGUGAAGAACACUGAAGAUGUGAAUCUGGGGUUCAGGGUAUAGGGCAGGACUCAAGAUUCUCCUUGGAGAUUGUGCAUUUUAUCUUGAAAGAAUUCCAUUGUUUUUCAGAGUAGUAAUUUCAUUUGAUAGAAUAAAGAGCCAGGGUAUUUUGAGUAGAAUGAUGAGAAAAAUUUUAAUCAAACUUCUUAAAAAAUAAUUGUGAAUAAAAAUAAGAGUAAAAUAUAGGUGAUUUUCAGUCAGCCUCAGUGACCUGUCUGUAUCUGACCUGAGUCCCAGCUGAUACAGCCAGUAGACUGUAGAAAAUUCAGAAUUUAUUUGCAUGUUUUAAAGCUAUUGAGAAGAAGAAUUAGACAUUUUAAUUUCUCCCCCCACCCCUAUAAGGAACCUUGUGGAUAUACUUGUGAGCCUUACCUGUUUUUUUCUUAGCAGGAAACCAGUCAGAAGUGGGAGGCCUCUGAACAAACCAUACUGUAGCCUCCAGCUUCUGCUUUCUCCAGGCAGAAUGCUGGCCCUCGGUGCCUCUUUCUGCUUCUCCUUGUUCAGACCACUGAGGACUGCCCCUGUCCUGUCUGACUCCUCCUGUUGUGGGCCUCACAAAGACUGGCCAUUCACCAUUCAUCUUGGGAGGGAGUAGUUAAAAGUGUAAGUACGGAGGGGACUCAAGAUGGCGCUGUGAGAACAACCCAGGAUUGGAGCCCGCGUUGAAUUCGCAAACGGUGAGUCAGUGCUGCAUUUCCAGACUGAUCUUUGUUGCCCACAGAACGGGGAAACUCCCAAGUAUAAAAAGACACGGGACGCCAGGCAGUAGGUCUGCCUGGCGAAGCCGGCAGCGGGGCGGCGGUGGCUGGCCCUACCCAGCAAUCCCCACAGGGCGCGCUUGUCCGGGUGCCUUGUUGAACCGGCAACCUGAGACUUGAGAGGGCUGUACUUGAGACUGAACUAGACUUGCACAGUAGGCCAGCCCAGGGGAUUGCAGGGACAGAUCGCUUGGGAUACCCAGUGGGACGAACAAAACCGCGAUUUCAAACUAUCCCGGGCAGACGGUCCGAGACGCUCUGUGGGGGAGGGGCGUCCACCACUACGGAGGCA
rnacentral:lncRNA from 1 species